rnacentral:rRNA from 1 species
UACGGGGGGGGGCAAGCGUUGUUCGGAAUUACUGGGCGUAAAGGGCGCGUAGGCGGCCCUCUAAGUCGGACGUGAAAUCCCUCGGCUUAACCGGGGAACUGCGUCUGAUACUGGAGGGCUUGAAUCCGGGAGAGGGAUGUGGAAUUCCAGGUGUAGCGGUGAAAUGCGUAGAUAUCUGGAGGAACACCGGUGGCGAAGGCGGCAUCCUGGACCGGUAUUGACGCUGAGGCGCGAAAGCUAGGGGAGCAAACGGGG